rnacentral:rRNA from 1 species
CCAGACUCCUACGGGAGGCAGCAGUAGGGAAUCUUCGGCAAUGGACGAAAGUCUGACCGAGCAACGCCGCGUGAGUGAAGAAGGUUUUCGGAUCGUAAAACUCUGUUGGUAGAGAAGAACGUUGGUGAGAGUGGAAAGCUCAUCAAGUGACGGUAACUACCCAGAAAGGGACGGCUAACUACGUGCCAGCAGCCGCGGUAAUACGUAGGUCCCGAGCGUUGUCCGGAUUUAUUGGGCGUAAAGCGAGCGCAGGUGGUUUAUUAAGUCUGGUGUAAAAGGCAGUGGCUCAACCAUUGUAUGCAUUGGAAACUGGUAGACUUGAGUGCAGGAGAGGAGAGUGGAAUUCCAUGUGUAGCGGUGAAAUGCGUAGAUAUAUGGAGGAACACCGGUGGCGAAAGCGGCUCUCUGGCCUGUAACUGACACUGAGGCUCGAAAGCGUGGGGAGCAAACAGGAUUAGAUACCCUGGUAGUCCACGCCGUAAACGAUGAGUGCUAGAUGUAGGGAGCUAUAAGUUCUCUGUAUCGCAGCUAACGCAAUAAGCACUCCGCCUGGGGAGUACGACCGCAAGGUUGAAACUCAAAGGAAUUGACGGGGGCCCGCACAAGAGGG